AUUGAACGCUGGCGGAAUGCUUUACACAUGCAAGUCGAACGGCAGCACGGACUUCGGUCUGGUGGCGAGUGGCGAACGGGUGAGUAAUGUAUCGGAACGUGCCCAGUCGUGGGGAAUAACGUAGUGAAAAUUACGCUAAUACCGCAUACGAUCUAUGGAUGAAAGCGGGGGAUCGCAAGACCCUGCGCGAUUGGAGCGGCCGAUAUCAGAUUAGGGAGUUGGUGGGGUAAAGGCCCACCAAGCCAACGAUCUGUAGCUGGUCUGAGAGGACGACCAGCCACACUGGAACUGAGACACGGUCCAGACUCCUACGGGAGGCAGCAGUGGGGAAUUUUGGACAAUGGGCGAAAGCCUGAUCCAGCCAUUCCGCGUGCAGGAUGAAGGCCCUCGGGUUGUAAACUGCUUUUGUACAGAACGAAAAGGUUUCUACUAAUACUAGGAGCUCAUGACGGUACUGUAAGAAUAAGCACCGGCUAACUACGUGCCAGCAGCCGCCGUAA
rnacentral:rRNA from 1 species